GGUGAAGAACGCAGCGAAAUGCGAUAAGUAAUGUGAAUUGCAGAAUUCAGUGAAUCAUCGAAUCUUUGAACGCACAUUGCGCCCAUUAGCAUUCUAGUGGGCAUGCCUGUUCGAGCGUCAUUUCAACCCUUAAGCCCUGUUGCUUAGCGUUGGGAGCCUACAGUACUGUAGCUCCCCAAAGUUAGUGGCGGAGUCGGUUUCACACUCUAGAAGUAGUAAUUUUUUCUCGUCUGUAGUUGAGCCGGUCCCCUGCCGUAAAACACCCAAUUUAUCAAGGUUGACCUCGGAUCAGGUAGGAAUACCCGCUGAACUUAAGCAUAUCAAUAAGCGGAGGA
rnacentral:misc_RNA from 1 species